rnacentral:lncRNA from 1 species
GCUUACAAUGCUUCCUAUUGAGGCUUAUUGUUUCCUAAUGAACCAAACACUUUCUUUUGCUUCUAUUGCUUUCUUUGCCCUACAUGUGUUCAUAUUGCCCAUUAAUUCUCCCAAAUGACCUGUAUUGUUUCUUAUUUACCUGUAAUGCUUGCUAUUGACCCUUAGUGGUUUAUACUGUCCCUAAUGCACAGUGCACAGAGUCACGGAGAUUCUGCAAUGGGACAGACUGAUGGAGGGACGGUGGGAGGAAAGACACUAGGCUCACACCAUCGCUAGGUUCCAUGUCCGGGUGCAUAGUCAGUUACGCAAGAGCAAAGCAGAAAAAAAGAAGAAGCAGUAGAAGGAGUGGGAGGGGGAGGACGCUGCGGAAAGUCUGCAGGUUUUUUUUUCUGUUCUCGCUCUCUGCAUGUUUCGCGUGACGCAGCGAGGGGGCCUGGCCGAGGGAAACCCGUUACUUCCUCUCUUGUGUGGCUUAUAAACUUUCAGAGGCGGGCUGGCUGUCAACAAAGAGUGCAGAGUGUGAGAGAGUAUAUAUAGGAAGCAACAUACAAACAGACGACAGUUACACUUCAAUACCCUCAACAUCAACACCAGCAACAUGUCAUCAACAGACCUGGAGAGCUUGGAGAGCAGGAAUGGGCGCUCGAGGCACAUGGACAUGUGUCUAGUGGGAUCCGUGGUUGUGCUAUUUGUGUUAGUUAUCUCGGGUUUCGCUGUGCUGUUCGCAUGGAACCUGAAGCCUGGAGCGGAGAUUGUACAUGAAUUUCCACAGGCUCUACGGGGUGAACAAGACGACAUGAGCUUGCGAUACAAGGGGCAGAACUUUGCCUAUCUGCGGGCCAACAUAGAUAAAACUGGCAAGAUGUCCAAAGGUGUGAUGGACUGGGAGCCUAUAACCUACGGAAACGGCAAGACCCUGGGCUCGGGAUACGAGUACGAUGCUAAUCAAAGAGUGCUAACAGUGAAGCAAGCAGGAGCCUACUUCCUCUACGUUCAGUUCAACGUGUCCUGCAACCACAAGUGUAAGAACGAAACGCUCACCAUCACCUUCACGUUUGACAACGUUGAGCAGCUCACCUGCACUUUAGAGCUACCUGACUACGAGACAGUGGCCAAGAAGUGCUGGACGGUGAUCCCACACAUGGACAAGAACAGCAAACUCAUGGCCAGGAUACAUUCAGACAAAGAGCUCAAAUCUCGCGUCCUGGAGGUCAACAGUUCUGGAUUUGGGAUGUUCCGCGUGGACGGGCCGGGGACGGACUAAAAACCAGGGCUUUUAUGGCGAAUGCUUUGAUAUAGUACUGUACGUGUGAUGUUUAUGGACAUCAUCAAAAAGACCUCAAGGGUCCUGACCCUAUGCACUUUGAUCUACUCAGGAUGGACUCUCAGGAAGCACUAUUUAUGAACAUUUUUAUAUUCCUAUUAACUAUUUAUGUCUUAUAGCCGUUUUUAUAGAUAUGUUAUUUAUGAGCUGUGUAAUUUAUGUGUU